UAAGGAAUAUUGGUCAAUGGACGCAAGUCUGAACCAGCCAUGCCGCGUGGAGGAUGAAGGCCCUCUGGGUUGUAAACUUCUUUUAUAUGGGACGAAAAAGGGUCUUUCUAGAUCAACUGACGGUACCAUGUGAAUAAGCACCGGCUAACUCCGUGCCAGCAGCCGCGGUAAUACGGAGGGUGCAAGCGUUAUCCGGAUUCACUGGGUUUAAAGGGAGCGUAGGUGGCCUUAUAAGUCAGUGGUGAAAUCUCUGGGCUUAACCCAGAAAUUGCCAUUGAUACUGUAGGGCUUGAGUACAGUUGCUGUGGGCGGAAUAUGACAUGUAGCGGUGAAAUGCUUAGAUAUGACAUAGAACACCAAUUGCGAAGGCAGCUGGCUACGCAUAUAUUGACACUGAGGCACGAAAGCGUGGGGAUCAAACA
rnacentral:rRNA from 1 species